rnacentral:rRNA from 1 species
UACGGAGGGAGCUAGCGUUGUUCGGAAUUACUGGGCGUAAAGCGCGCGUAGGCGGCUUUGUAAGUUAGAGGUGAAAGCCCGGGGCUCAACCCCGGAACAGCCUUUAAGACUGCAUCGCUAGAAUCCGGGAGAGGUGAGUGGAAUUCCGAGUGUAGAGGUGAAAUUCGUAGAUAUUCGCAAGAACACCAGUGGCGAAGGCGGCUCACUGGCCCGGUACUGACGGCUGAGGCACGAAAGCGUGGGGAGCAAACACGGG